rnacentral:rRNA from 1 species
CCUACGGGAGGCAGCAGUGAGGAAUAUUGGUCAAUGGGCGCGAGCCUGAACCAGCCAAGUAGCGUGAAGGAUGACUGCCCUACGGAUUGUAAACUUCUUUUAUCAAGGAAUAAAGUGAGGCACGUGUGCCUUUUUGUAUGUACUUUAUGAAUAAGCAUCGGCUAACUCCGUGCCAGCAGCCGCGGUAAUACGGAGGAUCCGAGCGUUAUCCGGAUUUAUUGGGUUUAAAUGGAGCGUAGGUGGGUUGUUAAGUCAGUUGUGAAAGUUUGCGGCUCAACCGUAGAAGUGCAAUUGAAACUGGCUGCCUUGAGUAGAGUAGAGGUAGGCGGAAUUCGUGGUGUAGCGGUGAAAUGCUUAGAUAUCACGCAGAACUCCGAUUGCGAAGGCAGCUUACU